rnacentral:lncRNA from 1 species
AUUUCACAUGCUCCUGGGCACUACUCAACAGAUUGAAAAAAUAACAAUAAGAGAAACCAAUGACCCUCCCGAAAUGAAUGCCUCUCUGGCCGUAGAGAGCUCGCUGUGCAUCAGCUGAGGCCCGUGGAUUUAACAGACUCCGAGCUUGGGACGCGGCGUGUCGGGAGGAAGCCCGGAAAGAGGCAGUACCGGAACUACAUAUGGAGGCGAGUGGUGCGAGCGCACGAGGGAUUAUUUUGUGCUGAUGUUCACGUUCUUGGUUCUUAUGCUCCUGAAAACAAUGCCUUCAGCAUGCAAGCAGGUGUGACUCUUAGUCCAUAAAUACAGGAUCCUUCACGGGCACAGUCGGGCCCCUCCCCUGCCGGGGUGUCCUGGCACCCCGGAAUGCUGAUACGGAGCCCUGAGGUUCAGCGAAGGGUCUCUCCUCUCCAGUUUAUCAGACUCGCCACUGUUCUCCUCAUUGUUCAGGCCUUUGACUAUGGAAGGCCGUAAAGAAAGCCAUCAGGCUGAGAAUUCAGGAUUCUCUGAUGCUCCAUGAUUAUGAUUAAGACCUGAGCUUGAGUCUGGUCCUCUGCUCUGGCUGCCCUCUGGUUGCAGGAUUAGGGUCUCCUUAAAUACUGCCAAGGAGGCCUUCUUGCUUUCACGUUUUGCCUUGAGUUGG